GAUGAACGCUGGCGGCGUGCCUAAUACAUGCAAGUAGAACGCUGAAGGAGGAGCUUGCUCUUCUGGAUGAGUUGCGAACGGGUGAGUAACGCGUAGGUAACCUGCCUGGUAGCGGGGGAUAACUAUUGGAAACGAUAGCUAAUACCGCAUGACAACAGUUAUUGCAUGAUAACUGUUUAAAAGGGGCAACUGCUCCACUACCAGAUGGACCUGCGUUGUAUUAGCUAGUUGGUGAGGUAACGGCUCACCAAGGCGACGAUACAUAGCCGACCUGAGAGGGUGAUCGGCCACACUGGGACUGAGACACGGCCCAGACUCCUACGGGAGGCAGCAGUAGGGAAUCUUCGGCAAUGGACGGAAGUCUGACCGAGCAACGCCGCGUGAGUGAAGAAGGUUGUCGGAUCGUAAAGCUCUGAUGUAAGAGAAGAACGAGUGUGAGAGUGGAAAGUUCACACUGUGACGGUAUCUUACCAGAAAGGGACGGCUAACUACGUG
rnacentral:rRNA from 1 species